UACGUAGGGCGCAAGCGUUAUCCGGAAUUAUUGGGCGUAAAGAGCUCGUAGGCGGUUUGUCGCGUCUGCUGUGAAAACUCGAGGCUCAACCUCGGGCUUGCAGUGGGUACGGGCAGACUAGAGUGCGGUAGGGGUGACUGGAAUUCCUGGUGUAGCGGUGGAAUGCGCAGAUAUCAGGAGGAACACCGAUGGCGAAGGCAGGUCACUGGGCCGCAACUGACGCUGAGGAGCGAAAGCAUGGGGAGCGAACAGG
rnacentral:rRNA from 1 species